UCCGCUGAGGAUGGUUUUUCCCCGGUGUAAUGAGCCGGGGGAAUAAGGAGAGGGCAAGACUGGUGUCAGCCGCCGCGGUAAUACCAGCUCUCCGAGUGGUAGGGAUGAUUAUUGGGCUUAAAGCGUCCGUAGCCGGCUUAGCAAGUCUCCUGUUAAAUUCAGCGACUUAAUCGUUGAGCCGCGGGAGAUACUACUGGGCUAGGAGGCGGGAGAGGCCGACGGUAUUCUCGGGGUAGGGGUGAAAUCCUAUAAUCCCGGGAGGACCACCAGUGGCGAAGGCUGUCGG
rnacentral:rRNA from 1 species